rnacentral:lncRNA from 1 species
UUUUUUUUUUUUUUUUUUGAGACAGACUCUUGCUCUGUCGCCCAGGCUAGAAUGCAGUGGCAAUCUCGGCUUACUGCAACCUCCACCUCCUGGGUUCAAGCAAUUCUCCUGCCUCAACCUCCCAAGUAGCUGGGAUUACAGGCACCCACCACUGUGCCUGGCAAAUUUUUGUAUUUUUAGUAGAGACAGGGUUUCACCAUCUUGGCCAGGCUGGUCUCGAACUCCUGACCUCGUGAUCCACCCACCUCAGCCUCCCAAAGUGCUGGGAUUACAGGCGUGAGCCACCACAUCGGCCAAGGAGGACUCUUUCAAGGUGAUUUUAACUUGUUCCUUCAUAUUUAUUUUUAACUGCAGAAUCUGAAAAAACAGCUCUUGUUUUAUAUUAAAGGGAGAUCAAAAAGAAAGCCUGUUGCACUGCCAGAAACCAUCUAAAGUUGGGAUGCUUUUGGUGUCUAUAUGUUCAAAGUGUACACAAUAGUCUCUUGACUGUUUUUACUUUCCCAUCUGAAGAUGGGAAAUUAUACCACUUAAGCAUUUUAUAUUACCUUUUUCUUCUAGCACUUUUGCAGCAUUUGUUGCAACUCUGUAAAGCAAUGAAAAUUAGUACAUGUGUUAAGCAAUAACAGUACAAAAUGCAACUUCUGGUAUGAGCAUCUGAUAAAAGCUCUGGGCUCUCUGGUUAGAAAAAUGCAUAUAGACACAAAAUUUGCACGCUAUUUAAAAGGGUUCCACAGGCCCUAUACUAAGGGGGUCAUUUUCUUUCUUUCUUUCUUUUUUUUUUUUUUUUUUGGAGACAGAGCCUCACUCUGUCACCCAGGCUGGAGUGCAGCACUUUUGAAACUUUAUUUAAUCCUCACAACUGUACUGUAAAGUAGAUAUUAUCCCCAUUUUACGGAUAAACUGAGCCUUGUGGAGCUUAAGUAACUUAUUUAACAUCACCCAACUGGCUAGAACUAGAACGAAGAUUCACUCCUGGGUCUGCCCCUGUCCAAAUACUGCGCUUCCUCCCACUGCAUUUUAUAUCCGGGUGGCAAAACCUCAUUAGGAACUUGUAAAUACAAAUUAAACUAAUAACAAGGAGCUAAAUAUACCUUUUACAUAUCUGUUACAUUCCCUCCAAGAAAGUUAGCCAAGCGGCUAAGCAUCCAGGAAAAUGGGAAUAUGCAUGUGUGUUGCAGCACGUGUUGAAGGACCACUAGGCAAUACAACCCAAGAACCACAACUGCAACAAACCCUACUCUUAAGAAUUCAUUUCUAGGAAAAAGACAUGAAAGAAGAAAAAUCUAGAUGCUUAUAGUUUUCUGAAACAAUAUUAGUUAAAGCAAAUGCAGGGAGGAAAAAUCUUAUAUCCAAUAGCAGUGUAACAGUUAAGUAAACAAUUGCUUAUAAAUACAAUGGAGAAUGACACAACCUUUUAAACUGGCUAACUAUGAUGACUGUGAAAACAUGGAAGAAUGUCUAUAAAAUAGUGGGAAGUAAAAGAGCACAACCUAAACGUAUAUAUAGAUACAAUCAUAGUAACAAAAGCCUUUUAUAAGGAGAAGUAAAAACUAGGUGGGAAUGCAAAUAAAUGAAAAUAGCUGUAUUAGUCUGUUGCAGUGAUGAAUACAUGAAUGAAUGAAAAUUUAAUAAUGAAAAUUUAUUUUUUUAAAGAAAUCACCUAUCCAGAGGAGGAAAGGAAGGGCUAAGGAAGUUUGGUCCUGUUGGGCAAUGAUGGCACUGGCACUUGAUGCCCACGAUCUGCCUGGGGGCAAAGUCCUGCCAUACCAGCCACUCUCCUUCCCCACCCGUCCUAACUACCACAAGGAUCACCUGGCAGCAUUUCACACCUACAGCUCUUCUCCUUUCUGGGAACAUUGAGACAGCUCUGAGUGGGAGGGGAAAAGCACGCAC